rnacentral:lncRNA from 1 species
GGUGUGGCCAAGAACGCCCCUCUCGAGUUCCAGAACACCAAGCUCAUGACCCGUCUCACCUACACCCUCGACGAGAUCGAGGGUCCCUUCGAGGUUACACCUGACGGAACGGUCAAAUUCGAGGAGAAAGACGGGAUCGACUAUGCUGCUGUGACGGUUCAGCUUCCCGGGGGUGAGCGUGUGCCGUUCCUCUUCACCAUCAAACAGUUGGUGGCCACUGGGAAGCCAGAAAGCUUCAGUGGGGACUUCCUUGUUCCCUCUUACCGAGGUUCCUCUUUCUUGGACCCCAAGGGAAGGGGUGCCUCAACCGGUUAUGACAAUGCUGUUGCUCUGCCUGCUGGUGGCAGAGGAGAUGAGGAGGAACUUGCGAAGGAGAACAACAAAAGUGCUUCAUCUUCCAAAGGGAAAAUCACCUUGAGUGUGACCAAGACCAAGCCAGAAACUGGAGAGGUUAUUGGGGUGUUCGAGAGUGUUCAGCCUUCUGAUACUGAUUUGGGGGCUAAAGCUCCUAAGGAUGUGAAGAUCCAAGGUGUCUGGUAUGCUCAACUUGAGUCAUAGACAUGUUUUUUAUGCUGUAAUUCUAUUUUCUUGUAACUUGUUAAGAAGCACUCAGAGCAUUACCUUGUGUGUAUAUUAUAACGACUUCGAUUAUAAUAAUGUCUAAAAUUAAAAU